AUGGCGGCGGGGGGAGCCUUUAGGGAGAGAGAAUCUAUGUGCGGAGGGGUCUCGGGGGGAGGGGUCUCGGAUCGGGGGAGGUCUCCACUGGGAGGGGUCUCCGGGAGGGGGAGGGUCUCCCGCGCGGGCUGCGGGCGGUGGGCGGGGCCGGGCGCCGCGGAGGUCGGCGGGGGUGUGUCCGAGGGGCCGGCGGGCAGCGCAGUCUCGCCCUCGGCUGAGUCCCCGCGCGCGGUCGCCGCUUUCACCCCGGACCUACCCGAGCGCGGCGGCGAGAUGCGUGAAGGCGGCGCGGGGCUGGCGCUCCUGGCCUCGCUGCUCUGGGUCUCCGCGCAGGGCCAGCAGAGAGGCCUGUUCCCUGCCAUCCUCAACCUUGCCAGCAAUGCACACAUCAGCACCAAUGCGACCUGCGGGGAGAAGGGGCCAGAGACGUACUGCAAGCUGGUGGAGCAUGUGCCUGGGCGGGCCAUGCGCAAUGCCCAGUGCCGGGUCUGCGAUAGCAGCAGUGCCAACCCCAAAGAACGGCAUCCGAUAUCCAACGCCAUUGACGGCACCAAUAACUGGUGGCAGAGUCCUAGUAUUCAGAACGGGAGAGAGUACCACUGGGUCACGAUCACGCUGGACCUGAGGCAGGUCUUCCAGGUCGCUUAUGUCAUCAUCAAGGCAGCUAAUGCCCCUCGGCCUGGAAACUGGAUCUUGGAACGUUCUGUGGAUGGUGUGGAGUUCAGCCCCUGGCAGUACUAUGCGGUCAGUGACACAGAAUGUUUGACGCAUUACAACAUCACUCCGAGACGGGGGCCGCCCACCUACAGGGCGGAUGACGAAGUCAUCUGCACCUCCUAUUACUCCAGACUGGUGCCGCUUGAGCACGGAGAGAUUCACACAUCGUUAAUCAAUGGCAGACCAAGCUCUGAUGAUCUUUCACCCAAGUUGCUGGAUUUCACUUCUGCACGAUACAUCCGCCUGCGUUUACAGCGCAUCCGAACCCUCAAUGCCGAUCUUAUGACCCUCAGCCACCGGGACCCUAAAGACCUGGACCCUAUUGUUACCAGACGAUAUUAUUAUUCAAUAAAAGACAUUUCUGUUGGAGGAAUGUGUAUCUGUUACGGCCAUGCUAGUAGCUGCCCAUGGGAUGAAGCCACAAAGAAAUUCCAGUGUCAGUGUGAACAUAACACGUGUGGGGACAGAUGCAAUCGAUGCUGCCCUGGGUACCACCAGCAGCCUUGGAGACCUGGCACUGUUUCUUCCGGGAACACGUGUGAAGAAUGCAAUUGCCACAAUAAAGCCAAAGACUGUUACUAUGAUGAAGAUGUGGCCAAUCAGAGGAGAAGCCUGAAUAUUGCUGGUCAGUUCAGAGGAGGAGGGGUUUGCGUCGGCUGCCUGCAGAACACCAUGGGUGUCAACUGUGAAACCUGUGUGGAUGGAUUUUACAGACCCCAUGGGGUGUCUCCUUAUGAGGACAACCCUUGUCGCCCCUGUGACUGUGACCCUCUGGGGUCCCUCAGUUCUGUCUGUGUUAAGGAUGACCUUCACUCUGACUUACACAGAGGGAAGUGGCCAGGUCAGUGUCCGUGCAAGGAAGGUUAUGCGGGAGAAAAAUGUGAUCGCUGCCAAUUUGGCUAUAAGGGUUACCCGGAGUGUGUGUCCUGUGACUGCAACCCAGCUGGCAGCGUGAAUGAGGAACCCUGCUCUGAGUCUUGUCUCUGUAAGGAAAAUGUUGAGGGGAGUCACUGUGAUCGCUGCAAGCCAGGAUUCUAUAACUUGGAGGAAAGGAACCCCCAGGGCUGCUCCGAGUGCUUCUGCUUUGGUGUCUCUGACGUUUGUGAAAGCCUCUCCUGGCCCGUCAGUCAGGUGAAAGAUAUGUCCGGGUGGCUGGUCACCGACUUGGUCAGUUCCAACCAGAUCCGGUCCCAGCAGGAUGCACUGGGUGGACGUCACCAGAUCAGCAUCAACAACUCGGCGGUGGAGCAGACGCUGACCUCCCAGUACUACUGGGCGGCCCCGGAAGCCUACUUGGGAAACAAGCUGACGGCCUUUGGUGGAUUCCUGAAGUACACAGUGUCCUACGAGGUCCCAGUGGAAGCAGUGGAUGGUGACCCCCUGUCUCAUGCCGACGUCAUCAUUAAGGGAAACGGAAUCACUUUAAGCACCCAGGCUGAGGGCCUGCUGUUGCAGCCGUACGAAGAGUACUUGAACGUGGUUAGACUGCUGCCAGAGAACUUCCGAGAUUUCAAGAGCAAGAGGGAGAUAGAUCGUGACCAGCUGAUGACCGUCCUCGCCAAUGUGACCCAUCUCUUGAUCAGAGCCAACUACAACUCUGCUAGGACAGCUCUUUACAGGUUGGAUUCUGUCUCUCUGGACGUGGCCAGCCCUAACGUCAUAGACCUGUCCCUGGCCACGCAGGUGGAGCACUGCGAGUGUCCUCAGGGCUAUGCGGGCAUCUCCUGCGAGUCCUGUCUUCCUGGCUAUUACCGCGUGGACGGAAUACUUUUCGGAGGAAUCUGUCAGCCCUGUGAAUGCCACGGCCAUGCAGCCGAGUGUGAUGUUCAUGGUGUUUGCUUUGCCUGCCAGCACAACACUGCCGGUGACCACUGUGAGCGCUGUCUGCCCGGCUUCUAUGGGCUGCCUUCCCGAGGGACCCCCGGGGACUGCCAGCCCUGUGCUUGCCCGCUCUCCACGGCCUCCAACAAUUUCAGCCCCACCUGCCACCUGGAUGAUGGGGACGAAGUGGUGUGUGACCAGUGUGCCUCAGGAUACACGGGGGAUUGGUGCGAGAGAUGUGCAGACGGUUACUAUGGAAACCCAACAGUGCCUGGAGACUCCUGCGUCCCAUGUAACUGCAGUGGCAACGUCGACCUCUUGCAGCCUGGAAGCUGUGAUUCUGUCACUGGAGAAUGCUUGCGAUGCCUUGGGAACACUGACGGCCCUCACUGUGAGAGGUGUGCUGACGGUUUCUAUGGGGACGCGGUGACCGCGAAGAACUGCCGUGCCUGUGAAUGUCAUGGCCAAGGCUCCCUUUCUGCCGUCUGCCACCCGGAAACUGGACUCUGUGAGUGCAAACCACACGUGACCGGACAGCGAUGUGACCAGUGCUUGUACGGCUACUAUGGGCUGGACUCGGGGCUCGGGUGCCUGCCGUGUAACUGCAGUGCCGGCUCCCUGUCGGAUGACUGCACACCAGAAGGCCAGUGUCUCUGCGUCCCGGGUGUGGCCGGGGAGAAGUGCGACAGGUGUGCCCGUGGCUUCUAUGCCUACCAGGACGGCGGCUGUACACCCUGCGACUGCGCUCACACCCAGAACACCUGUGACCCGGAGACUGGGGAGUGUGUGUGCCCACCUCACACGCGGGGUGCAGCGUGCAAGGAGUGUGCAGACGGACACUGGGGCCACGACCCAGAGCUCGGAUGCCAGGCCUGUAAUUGCAGCAGUGUGGGGUCAGCCAGCCAGCAGUGUGAUGUAGUCACUGGCCGCUGCCCCUGUAAGCCUGCAUUCGGUGGACGGGCCUGCGACCAGUGCUCCCCAGGGUACAAAAGCUUCCCCAACUGCGUGGCCUGUGACUGUGACCCGAGGGGGACCCUGGCCGACGCCUGUGACCAGGAGCAGGGUCUCUGCAGCUGUGCCCAGGAAACUGGAGCCUGCUCUUGCAAGGAAAAUGUCGCUGGUCCUCAGUGCGGUGAGUGCCGAGCUGGCACCUUUGCUCUGGACGAGGCGGACCCUCGGGGAUGCAUGCCCUGCUUCUGCUUCGGGCUGUCACAGCUGUGCUCGGAGGCCGAGGGCUACGUGAGGACGCCAGUGACACUGGGCUCAGAUCAGCCUCUCCUGCGUGUGGUUUCUCAGAGCAACCUCAAAGGCACGACCGAGGGGGUGUACUACCAGGCCCCCGAUUUCCUGCUGGACGCCGUGACCGUCAGGCAGCAGGUCCACGCGGAGCCGUUUUACUGGCGGCUGCCUGGGCAGUUUCAGGGAGACCAGCUCCUGGCCUACGGAGGCACACUGCGCUACCGCGUGGCCUUCUAUGCUUCUGAUGGGAUCGGCACCUCCAACCUGGAACCUCAGGUGCUCAUCAGAGGAGGCCGGACCAGGAAGCAGAUCAUCUACGUGGACGCGCCAGCCCCCGAGAAUGGAGUGAGGCAGGAGCAGGAAGUGGGGAUGAAGGAGAAUUUUUGGAAGUAUUUUAACUCUGUUUCUGAAGAACCUGUCACACGCUCAGAUUUUAUGUCUGUUCUUAGCAACAUUGAGUACAUCCUCAUCAAAGCCUCUUAUGGCCAAGGAUUACAGCAAAGCAGAAUCUCAAAUAUUUCAAUGGAGGUCGGCAGAAAGGCGGAAGAGUCACAUGCCGGCAGGGAGGUGGCCCUCCUGUUAGAGAAGUGUGUCUGUCCUCCUGGCACGGCUGGACUCUCGUGUCAGGACUGCGCACCUGGUUACCACAGAGGGAAGCUUCCGGAAGGUGACGGCAGGAGAGCACGCCCUCUGCUGGCCCCGUGUGUGCCCUGCAAUUGCAACAACCACAGUGACGCCUGUGACCCGGAAACCGGGAAGUGUCUGAACUGUGGCCACAACACCACUGGCGACCGCUGUGACACGUGUGCCCCUGGCUACUAUGGGAAGGUGACCGGCUCGGCCAGUGACUGCUCUCCGUGCACCUGUCCUCACAGCCUGCCGGCCAGCUACAGUCCCACUUGCGUCUUGGAAGGCGAUCAUGAUUUCCGAUGCGAUGCCUGUUUUGUGGGUUAUGAAGGACAGUAUUGUGAAAGGUGCUCAUCCGGUUACUAUGGUAACCCUCGGAUGCCAGGCGGCACUUGCCAGAGGUGUGACUGCAGCCUGCAUGGCUCUGUCCACGGCGACUGUGACCGUGGGUCCGGGCAGUGUGUCUGCCGGCCGGGGGCCACAGGGCUCCGCUGCGGGGAGUGUGAACCGAGGCACAUUUUGGUGGAAAGCGACUGUGUGUCCUGUGAUGAUGACUGUGUGGGUGUCCUGCUGAAUGACUUGGCCCACGUUGGGGAUGCCAUCCUGUCUGUGAACCUCACCAGCACCAUCCCUCUCCCAUAUGGGGUUUUGUCAGACCUGGAAAGUAGAACAAAGUCUCUCCGGGACUCUUUAUUAAAAGAAAAUAUGCAGAAAGAACUGGUGAAAAGUCAACUUGAAGGCGUCUCAGAACAAACGGAGGACCUGCAAAGAGAACUUGACAGAGUGUUGACUCAUAGUGAGCAGGUGACCAGGGCCACGGAAAGAAUCCUGGACAAGAGUGUGGACCUCAUUAAGUUGACCGAGAAGCUGCAGACAGACAUUGAAGAAAUGAUCGAAAAGGCUACGACUCUAAAUCAGACGCUGGAUAACGAUGUCCAGCUGCCCAGCUCUACCCUUCAGGACAUGCAGGAGAACAUCACGGCUUUGCUGGAAGUCCUACGGAAAAGGCGGUUCCUGCCGCUGCACCAGAAUGCCACCCUGGAACUCAAGGCUGCCGAAGAUUUAUUGUCACAAAUUCAGGAAAAUUACCAGAAGCCACAGGAAGAGUUGGCGGUGUUAAAAGAAGCAGUAAGCAGCCUCCUUUCAACACACAACAGUGAUGUGCGGGCCGCAGAAGAGCUCCUGAGAGAAGCAGAGAUGAAGACCCAGGAGAGCGGUCGCCUGCUGCUCCUCAUCGGGGCCAACCUGCGAGAGUUCAACGAGAAGAAGCUGCGUGUUCAGGAAGAACAGAACUUGACAUCAGCACUGAUUGCCGAAGGAAGGGGACUGCUGGAUGCAGCUGCUGCUCCUGCAAACGCAUCCGGGGAGGCUCUCGCGCAACUAGAGCAACACCGGGACGAGCUGCUACUGUGGACUGCCCAAAUCAGGCGCCACGUGGAUGACCUGGUCAUGCAGAUGUCUGAAAAGAGAGCGCUGGAGCUUGUGUACAGGGCGGAGGAUCAUGCCGCUGAGCUGCAGAGACUGGCAGGUGCCCUGGACAGUGGCCUUGGGAAUGUCAGACAUGUGUCCCUGAAUGCCACCAGCGCAGCCCACGUCCACUCCAACAUCCGGAGCCUGAUUGAGGAAUCAGAGAGGUUGGCGACAGAUGCACUCGGAACUGUGAAAGAGGCGAGCGCGGCUUCCGAAUCUCUUGUUUCUAAUGGGAGAGCGGCCCUCCGGCGUAGUUCCGAGUUUCUCAAAGAAGGCAACCGCCUGGGCAGAAAGCAUAGAGGUAUCACAUUGGAAGUGAGUAGAUUGAAAGAUACUGCAAAGAGAUUUCAAGAGGAUGCUGAUAAAAUUAGCAGGCAGACCAACGAAUCACUCUUGAUACUUAGAGCAAUUCCUGAAGGUGUCAGAGACAGAGGAGCCAAAGUCAAAGGCCUGGCCAUGUCUGCAAACCAGAGCGCCACCAGCACACUCAAGAAUGUCAUGGGGCUCAGUCAGAAGCUGUUGAACACGUCCACUGACCUGUCCAGGGUUAACGCCACAUUACAGGAAACAGACGAACUCCUACGAGACUCCUCGAUGACCACUUUGUUAGCUGGAAGAAAAGUCAAAGAUGUGGAAACACAAGCCAACCUCUUGUUGGAUCGGCUGAAGCCUCUGAAAAUGUUAGAAGAGAACCUGAGCAGAAACCUGUCAGAAAUCAAACUGCUGAUCAGCCAGGCCCGGAAACAAGCCGCGUCUAUCAAAGUUGCUGUGUCUGCAGACCGAGACUGCAUCCGGGCCUACCAGCCCCAGAUUUCUUCUACCAACUACAACAGCCUAACGCUCAACGUGAAGACAAGUGAACCCGACAACCUUCUCUUCUACCUGGGCAGCAGCACUAGCGCUGAUUUCCUGGCAGUGGAGAUGCGGCGAGGAAAAGUGGCCUUCCUCUGGGAUUUGGGCUCUGGAUCAACACGCUUGGAAUUUCCAGACUUCCCAAUCGAUGACAACAAGUGGCACAGCAUCUAUGUGACCAGGUUUGGAAACAUUGGUUCAUUGAGCGUAAAGGAAAUGAGUGCAGCUCAAAAGCCUCCACCAAGAACAAGUAAAUCCCCUGGAACAGCCAAAGUUCUGGAUGUAAACAACUCAACCAUGAUGUUUGUUGGAGGGCUUGGUGGACAGAUCAAGAAGUCUUCUGCCGUGAAGGUUACUCAUUUUAAAGGCUGCAUGGGAGAAGCCUUCCUGAAUGGACAAUCCAUCGGCCUGUGGAACUAUAUUGAGAGGGAGGGGGAGUGCCACGGCUGCUUUGGAAGCCCCCAGGAUGAAGAUGCCUCUUUCCAUUUUGCUGGGAGUGGAUAUUCUGUUGUGGAGAAGACUCUCCGGGCCACUGUGACUCAGAUAAUUAUGCUUUUUAGUACCUAUUCACCUAAUGGGUUGCUUCUGUACCUGGCUUCAGAUGGCACUAAAGACUUUUUAUCCAUUGACCUGGUCGACGGCAGAGUCAGGGUGACAGUUGACCUGGGUUCUGGGCCCCUUGCUCUGAUUACCGAUCGACGCUAUAAUAAUGGAACGUGGUACAAAAUUGCCUUCCAGCGAAAUAAAAAGCAAGGGCUCCUAGCAGUUAUUGAUGCUUAUAACACCACCUACAAAGAAACCAAGCAAGGGGAGAAUCCAGGGGCAUCUUCUGACCUCAAUCGUCUGGAUAAGGAUCCAAUUUAUGUGGGUGGAUUACCGAGGUCGAGGGUGGUGAGGAAAGGUGUCUCCAGCAAGAGCUACGUGGGCUGCAUCAAAAACCUGGAAAUAUCCAGAUCGACCUUUGAUUUACUCAGAAAUUCCUAUGGCGUGAGGAAAGGCUGUACACUGGAGCCCGUCCGAAGCGUCAGCUUCUUGAGAGGUGGCUACGUUGAAUUGCCACCCAAGUCUCUGUCACCAGACACGGAGUUGUUGGCAACAUUUGCCACCAGGAACAGCAGUGGCAUCAUCCUGGCUGCCCUGAGCCAGGGCGGUGAGAAGCCAGGUGAUCGGCAGGCCCAUGGGCCCUUCUGGUCCAUCAUGCUAAUUGAAGGCCACGUUGAAGUGCAUGUUAACCCUGGGGACGGAACCAGCCUGAGAAGAGCUCUCCUGCACGCUCCCAUGGGCACCUACAGUGAUGGUCAAGAGCAUUCCAUCUCCAUGAUAAGGAGCGGAAGAGUUGUCACUGUUCAAGUGGAUGAGACAAUUCCUGUGGAAAUGAAGUUGGGCCCGUCAGCAGAAAGCAAGACCAUAAAUGUGUCCAGCCUGUAUGUUGGGGGCAUUCCAAAGGGUGAGGGGACACCCAUGCUCAAGAUGAGAAGCUCGUUCCACGGCUGUAUCCGAAACCUGGUCUUUAACAUGGAACUUCUGGAUUUCACGAGUGCCACCGACUAUGAACACGCAGACCUGGACUCCUGCUCACUCUCAGAGAGGCCAAAACUAGCUGUCUACCGAGAGGACGGAGAGCUCCCGCCAGAGCCCCAGCCUUUACCAAGUCCAGAACUGUGCGCUACAGAAAGGCCCCCAGAAUAUGUGCCCAACGCCCACCAGUUCGGCCUCGCAGAAGGCAGCCACUUGGUGCUACCUUUUAACCAGCUGGCUGUCCGAAAGAGGCUCUCAGUUCAGCUGAGCAUCCGCACGUUCGCCUCCAGCGGCCUGGUGUACUACAUGGCUCACCAGAACCAGGUGGACUACGCCGCACUCCAGCUGCACUCGGGCCGCCUCCACUUCACCUUCGACCUUGGGAAGGGCAGGACCAAGGUCUCACACCCAGCACUGCUCAGCGAUGGCCAGUGGCACACGGUCAAGACAGAGUACUUUAAAAGGAGGGGCUUCAUGAUGGUCGACGGCCAGGAAUCGCCCAUGGUGACCACAGUGGGAGAUGCCACCACGCUGGACGUGGAAGGGAAGCUGUACCUCGGAGGCCUCCCCUCCAAGUACAGGGCCAGAAACAUUGGAAACAUCACUCACAGCAUCCCUGCCUGCCUCGGGGAGGUGACGGUGAACAGCCAGAAGCUGGACACGGACAGCCCCGUGUCUGCAUUUGCAGUGACCAGGUGCUAUGCCGUGGCCCAGGAAGGAACGUUCUUUGAAGGCAGUGGAUACGCAGCCCUCGUCAGAGAAGGCUACAAAGUGCGAUCUGACGUGAACAUCACGUUGGAGUUCCGUACCUCGUCGGAGAACGGUGUCCUCCUGGGGAUCAGCAGCGCCAAAGUGGAUGCCAUUGGACUGGAGAUUGUAGAUGGAAAGCUCUUGUUUCACGUUAACAAUGGUGCUGGGAGGAUAACAGCCACGUACGAGCCCAAAGCUCCCAGUAGGCUCUGCGAUGGGAGAUGGCACACCCUUCAGGCAAACAAGAGCAAGCAUCGAGUGGUUCUGAUUGUCGACGGGAACGCGGUUCGAGCAGAAAGUCCGCACACCCAGUCCACCUCCGCUGACACCAACGAUCCCAUUUAUGUUGGCGGCUAUCCUGCUGAUGUGAAGCAGAACUGCCUGAGCAGCCGGGCCUCCUUCCGGGGCUGUGUGCGGAGGCUCACUCUGACUAAGGGCCCACACGUGCAGUCCUUCGACUUGAGCACAGCUUUCGACCUGCAAGGAGUUUUCCCUCAUUCCUGUCCUGGGACUGAGUCCUGAACUUUGGGGAAUGCCUCGGUUGGGAACCAUCGUUUAUAUUUUGAGAAUUAUUUUGUGAACUAAAAUCUUUACAGUUCAGAUUUCAUUUCCAACUCAGGUCAGUGUUUCCAGAGAGAACGUUUUUGUUUAUAUUUAACUAAAACCAUGUGUACAACAAAUACCUCUAUUAAAUAGUUUAAAAUGUAAAUUG
rnacentral:lncRNA from 1 species